UGGCCGAUCCAGGUGUGACCAACUCGACAUGUUUUUGGGAAUUUCGCCAACCAAUGAAUUGUUCUCCAACUGUAGGAUACGCAGGCGGUGCAACCGGCCGAGUUGUGGAGGGAUUUCUUGAUUGAAGCUAUUGUUUUGUAGCCACAUCUCC